rnacentral:lncRNA from 1 species
UACACAUACAUACAUAUAUUUUUCCAUUGUGCAUGUUUUACUUCAUAAUAAAGUGACACUGCCUGCCUUGAAAUAAUUACAAAUUGUUCAAAGUCCACCAAUUAUAUUGGAGGAAAAGAUAACAACAUAUAUUUAUAACCUACUCUGAAGAAAACACCAAAAUCGGUUUCUGAAAUGAUUAGAGUAACUGCCAAAGUUUUUUUAAAAAAUGAAAAGAGCAGGUGAGGUUGAAUACACCUGUAAUCCCAGCAACUCAGGAGGUUGAGGUAGGAGGAUCAUAGCCUUGGCAACUGAAACAGUGUCUCAAAAUUAAAAUAAAAAAGGGCUGGGGUUGUAGCUUAGUGGUAGAGCACCGGGGGUUAAAUGCCUAUUAUCAUAAAUAAACAAAAAUUAGUAAAGGAAAAUUAGAUCGUUUUAAAAUAGCAUUCAGGGUCUGGGGGUAUAGCUCAAAGGUAGAGUGCUUGCCUAGCAUGUGUGAGGCCCUGGGUUUGAUCCUCAGCACCAGGAAAUGUAAGUAAAUAAAUAACAAAAUAUAAAUAAAUAAAUAAAAUAAAAGUAAGUAAAUAAGUAAAUGUGAAAAAUAUUAAGUAAAUAAAUAACAAAACAAUAUUGAUGUCUCAAUUCAGCCUUUAGGGGAUUAAUUGAUCCCACAGAUCAAAUGCCAAAAUUACAACUACGAAGAAAUCAUGACAGGAUCUUCACUUUGGUAAAUAUAUUCUGUAUUAACCUAACCUAAUCUGAUGUUUUCAAAUAGAUCUUUGAGAUAAGAGAUUAGAGUUUUGUUUUGUUUUGUUUUUAUUUGUUUU